UACAGAGGUCCCAAGCGUUGUUCGGAUUCACUGGGCGUAAAGGGUGCGUAGGUGGUUGGGUAAGUCUGAUGUGAAAUCUCCGGGCUCAACCCGGAAAUGGCAUUGGAUACUAUUCGGCUAGAGGUUUGGAGGGGGGACUGGAAUUCUCGGUGUAGCAGUGAAAUGCGUAGAUAUCGAGAGGAACACCUGCGGCGAAGGCGGGUUGCUGGGCUGACACUGACGCUGAUGCGCGAAAGCUAGGGGAGCGAACGGG
rnacentral:rRNA from 1 species